rnacentral:lncRNA from 1 species
AAAUGUAGCUAGUAUAGUUUUUCAAGUCUUUGGCUCAUACUCAACCGUAUAAUUUCAGGUAUUGAGGCACAACAACUACUAGUUUUACAUCUAGCGGAUUGUCAAAUACGAUUUGUCCCUUUGUUUCGGCCUCAAGUGUUCUACAUCACCCUAGGUUUUGUCUGGUGUGAUGGAAUUGUUUGAAUGACAAAGAAGGAAUGAUAGUUGCCGCCUCUGCUUAUCAGUCAUGCAUCCAUCUUGCUCUCUGCAGCUUAAUAGUCGGUAACAGAGUUUUUCUCUCCCAUGCUUUUGAAAUUCUUCAAAUUGAACUUCCCAUCCUUGCUGAUUUUCUUUCUCUUUUGCAGCUUCUCUUCAUCCUCAACGAUUGCAAGGAAUCGCAUGACAUCUAUUCUUUCAGUAAUGACGCCUCUUGCCCUUUCUUUAAUGACGCCUCUGUGUUAGCUGAAUAAGGAAUUUUUGAUAGAGAAUUUCAGUAUUAUCCAAUUCCAUUUUACUUAACUCUGUUGUGUUACCUGAACACACCCUUUCUUAGCUCUUGUUUCUCUUUUCUUCUAUACCUAACGUCACUCGCACCUUCCCAAAUGGAAAACUCUCCUUCGGUUGACUAAUUAAUCCAUGUUUUACUUUUCUACACCUAUUGUGGGCUGCAUCAAAUGAGAGAAAUCCUCUUCCUGAGAGGAUUCUUGUGCUUCAUAUUAUCUCUUCUUUUUAACUAAGCUCUAACCACUCUCAAUAUUCUUUUUUCUAUAUUGACCACUACUUUUUCCAUUGAAGUAUACAUCUCACAUUUCAGAAGAUGCAGAACCUAAUGCAUGACAUGGAUUGAAAUGUUGUUGCUACAUGGGAACUUAAGAAAAGCAGGUAGGGGUUUUGUUGAAAUGUAUGACAACCAUAAUUGUUUUCUUAAAUUCUGUUGCUGUUUUUUUAACAUAGCAUUGUUAGUGGAUAGCGUGGCAGUGUGUGAGAGAGACAGAACGUGAUGCAAAGAAUGAAAAGAGAGGUAACGUGUAACACUGGAAGAGACUUAAAAAGUAUAUCUAUUAUUAUUAGAAGAGGUAGAGAAAGGUGUAUAUAUACAGAGUAUGUGAAGCAAAAUAACUUACACACGUCAGUUCAGUUUACAACUACAACACGCCCCCCAAACUAAACUACAGAGGGACUUUACAUUCAACAUAUCCCUUAGCAUCUCAAACCUAUUUAGUCUGAGAGCCUUCGUAAAAAUAUCUGCGACUUGCACUUCGGUCGAGCAGUGCACCAGUUCCAUUCUACCUUGGUUUACCAAGUCUCUUANNNNNNNNNNNNNNNNNNNNNNNNNNNNNNNNNNNNNNNNNNNNNNNNNNNNNNNNNNNNNNNNNNNNNNNNNNNNNNNNNNNNNNNNNNNNNNNNNNNNNNNNNNNNNNNNNNNNNNNNNNNNNNNNNNNNNNNNNNNNNNNNNNNNNNNNNNNNNNNNNNNNNNNNNNNNNNNNNNNNNNNNNNNNNNNNNNNNNNNNNNNNNNNNNNNNNNNNNNNNNNNNNNNNNNNNNNNNNNNNNNNNNNNNNNNNNNNNNNNNNNNNNNNNNNNNNNNNNNNNNNNNNNNNNNNNNNNNNNNNNNNNNNNNNNNNNNNNNNNNNNNNNNNNNNNNNNNNNNNNNNNNNNNNNNNNNNNNNNNNNNNNNNNNNNNNNNNNNNNNNNNNNNNNNNNNNNNNNNNNNNNNNNNNNNNNNNNNNNNNNNNNNNNNNNNNNNNNNNNNNNNNNNNNNNNNNNNNNNNNNNNNNNNNNNNNNNNNNNNNNNNNNNNNNNNNNNNNNNNNNNNNNNNNNNNNNNNNNNNNNNNNNNNNNNNNNNNNNNNNNNNNNNNNNNNNNNNNNNNNNNNNNNNNNNNNNNNNNNNNNNNNNNNNNNNNNNNNNNNNNNNNNNNNNNNNNNNNNNNNNNNNNNNNNNNNNNNNNNNNNNNNNNNNNNNNNNNNNNNNNNNNNNNNNNNNNNNNNNNNNNNNNNNNNNNNNNNNNNNNUCCACUUGUUGUUUCAGUAAAUUCCAAACCGAGAAAGUAGUUAAGUUUUCCAAGAUCAGUCAUAUCGUAUUCUGCCCUCAUCCUCGUCUUGAAUUCCUCAACCAUCGUUUUAGAAUUUUCAGUUACAAGCAUAUCAUCAACGUAUAGACAUAUCACUAAAACAAUCUAUUGUGCUACUGAUUUUAUAUACACCCCAGAUUCCACUGAGGACUUUAUACAACCAAGUUUCAGAAGUAGCGCGUUGAUGUGUUCAUUCCAGGCUCGCGGUGCUUGCCUUAGUCCAUACAGUGCUUUGUUUAACCUGUAAACCUUGUGUUCUUCACCUUUCCUUUCGAAACCAGGCGGUUGUCUUACAUAAACUUCUUCCUUCAGAGGCCCAUUCAGAAAUGCCGAUUUAACAUCUAGUUGAUGUAUUUCCCAGCUCUUGAGAUUUGCUAGAGCAACCAUUAAUCUUACCGUUUCUAGCCUUGCAACUGGAGCAAACACUUCUGUGAAGUCUAUUCCCGGUUUUUGUAGAAAUCCCUUCGCUACAAGUCUUGCUUUGAGCUUAGCAACCUCACCAUUUGGUUUAAACUUCGUCUUGAAGACCCACUUCACUUCAAUUGCUUGUUUUUGUCGAGGCAGCUCUACCAAUUCCCAAGUUUUGUUUUUCUCGAUAGUUUUUAAUUCUUCAAUCAUGGCUUCUUUCCAUUCCUUUAUGCCAAGAGCUUGUUUCCAGUUGAUUAUUUCUGCAUCAGNAAGAAACGCGAUGUGUGCUUGAUCUCCAGGGUCAGCUACAUCAUUGUCAGUAAACACUUCAUAGUCAGCUAAUCUUGAGGAUGGAAAUCUCGUCCUCUGUGAUCUCCUGUUAUCCAUAUUGUCAUGUGUUUCAGCUUGCUUAUCAUUAGGGGUCCAAUCUUCCAGCCAGCUUGAAGUAACAACAGGCUUCUCUUGAUCUGUUUCGAACUUCUUCCAAUCAAACGUGGUUCUCUCAUCGACAAUAACGUCUCUGCUUAUCACGAUUUGUCUAUUCUUUGGAUUGUAUAGCUUGUAUGCACCUGUGGAAUGGUAUCCUAUGAAGAUAAAAGUCUCGCUUCUAUCGUCUAACUUCUUCCUCUUUGCGUCUGGGAUGAGCCUGUAACACACUGAACCAAAAACUUUAAAAUGAUUAACAGUUGGUUUAAUACCUGUCCAGGCUUCCUCUGGUGUGUAGUAUUCUAAGACUCUUGUUGGGCUUCUGUUUAAGAGAUACGUCGCUAUGGAGACAACUUCCCCCCACAAGUAGUCUGGCAGUUUCUUGCAUUUUAACAUACACCGGGUCAUGUCCAGCAGUGUUCUAUUUCUUCGUUCGGCCAAUUCGUUGUGUUGUGGAGUGUAGGGAGCAACAACUUCAUGUGUUAUGCCACUGUCACUGCAGUACUUGUUCAUUUCGUGAGAGUUGAACUCUCCUCCACCAUCAAUUCUGAGUGUCUUGAUACGUAGUCCAGAUUGUCUCUCCACCAUGACACAAAAUUUGACAAAGCAUGAGUAAACAAUUUUCUUUUCCUUAAUCAGAUAAAUCCAGAUUUUUCUGGUCCAUUCAUCAACAAAGAUAAGGAAAUACUUAUUACCUCCAAUUGAUUCUUGCUCGAAGGGUCCACACACGUCUGAAUAAACUACUUCAAGAGGUUGCUUGGCCUUCUUAUGUGCCGUUUUCUUGAAUUGUUUUCUGGUCUGCUUUCCAACUACACAGCCUUCACAUAUCUUUCUUGGUGAGUGAAUCUCAGGAAUUCCUUCCACCAUCUCUUUAUCCUUCAACUUCUUCAAGCUUCUGAAGUUUAGAUGUCCAUAGCGGUGAUGCCAUAGCCACUCUUCUUCCUUGGUAUUGAUAGAUAAUAGGCAUUGAACAGCUGCAGCAUUAAGCUUCACCUUGAAAGUUCUAUUUCUGGACAGCGGAGCUUUGAGCACGAAACGUCUUCUGUUAUCAAAUACUUCUAUGUGCUUUUGAUGCAUGUUUAUAGUAUAACCUUUUUCAAGCAAUUGCCCAAGGCUAAGCAGAUUGGUCUUCAUAUUUGGUACAUACAGCACGUUGUUCAUGAAUGUUGGCUGUCCAUCCUUGCGUUUGAUUAAAACUCUUCCAGCACCUUCAGCCAUUAUAGCGUUGUUAUCAGCGAAUCUUACGGUGCUUCUGACAUUCGGAUUUAAGUCAAUCAGCCACUCCUUCUUUCCUGUCAUGUGGUUGGAGCAACCCGUGUCCAAAUACCAAGUAUCUUCCUCUUCUGCAUGUCCUGAAUCAUGUGACAACAACACGUGUUCGAUUGUUUCUUGACAUCUGUCUUUGUUGCAUGUUGCGAGUUUCCGCGUCUCAAUUUCUUGACUCUUGUCUUUAUUGCAAGUCUCCUUUUCUUGUGUUGACUUCCACCGCUGCAUUUCUUUAUCAACAACAAUAGUACUCAUAAGAAGAACAUGAUCCAAAUCAGAAUCACUUGCGUCUGUUUCCUGUGCCAGAUUCGCUUCAUCCUCUUUAGUCUUCUUUACGGUUUGAUUGUGCCAACAUUCACUUGAGUAGUGUCCAUACUUACUGCAUGUAUAGCAUUGGAUGUUUCUCUUAUCUGUAUUCUUUCUACCUCUUCCUCUUGAGAUUUGCUUUCCACCCCUUUUGCUAUUGCCACCUUCUUCUCCAACAUUCUGAUCGGAAAAGUUCGCAUUCCUUCCUCCAGAUCUGCCUCCCCGAGAUCUACCUCUGCCUCUUCCAGAGCCACGUCCUCUGGGUUUAAAAUUGCCUCUAGCUUGUAGUGCCUGAUUAAAAUCAAGACCAACUUCCUUCUCUGGCUUCUUUCUUUCAAGAAGACGUUGUUCGUGUGCUUCUAGCGAGUUUUGCAGUUCUUCAAUCUUCAUUUUCUCCACAUCUUUGCUUUCUUCAAUUGCUACCACGAUAUGGUCGAAUUGCGGAGUCAGCGUUAUCAAGAUUUUCGCCACGAUUUUCUUAUCUUUCACUACUUUGUCGCACACUCUCAUGGCGUUUACUAUCAUUUAGAUUCUUCCGAUAUAGUCAACAACGAAUUCUUGUUCUUCCAUGCCCAAGAGUUCAUAUUGACGUUUAAGCGACUGUAGCUUAAGUUUCUUGACCUUACCUGUGUUGCCAUAGCCUUCUUGAAGAAUAUCCCAGAUUUCCUUCGCUGUGACUGCCUUUGAAACUUUCUGGAAGAUAGUGGCUGACACGCAUUGAUGCAGCAACAUGCGGGCUUUACAGUCUAAUCUUUUGUUUUCUUUGUAUUGACGCUUUGCCUCUUCAGAAUCGCCCUUUGCUGGUUCCUUGAACCCUUUCUUGACCACCUCGUCCACUUCUUGAAAGCCGAGAAUAGCGUCCAUCUUGAUGCACCAGUCAUUGAAUCCUUUUCCAUCAAACACCGGGAGAUUGUUGUGUAUUACUCCAGCCAUUUCUUCUUAAUCUGUUUCUACUGAUCCACCAGGCUUUCGAACGCAGCUCUUGAUACCACUGUUAGUGGAUAGCGUGGCAGUGUGUGAGAGAGACAGAACGUGAUGCAAAGAAUGAAAAAAGAGGUAACGUGUAACACUGGAAGAGACUGAAAAAGUAUAUAUAUUAUUAUUAGAAGAGGUAGAGAAAGGUGUAUAUAUACAGAGUAUGUGAAGCAAAAUAACUGACACACAUUAAGCAGUUUAGUUUACAACUACAACAAGCAUUUGUGCCUUUGAUUUUCAUUAAGCAGUUAAGCAUAUUUUUAUAGGAGUUAAUCGUAUUUAAGGAAUAAUACUUAAAUAGUGCUUGCUUUGUCCAAUCAAGAAAUGAGAUUUCGACUGUUCCUCUACCAUUUACGUCAAAUUAAUUUCCAUAUAUAGUUAGCAUCAUUAAACUCUUUUAUUCUACAAAUUUUACCAUUUUCCGUAACACCAAAUACGCUUUACAUUUUUUAUUUAUCAAAUAUUUAUUUAGAUAAGGAAGACAAUUCAACUUUAUUAAAUUUUAAUUUUCUUGUUUAGAAAUACUAUUUCAAUUAGGGAGAAAAAAUAAUUACUACAAAAUUUUAAUGAAAAAAAUCUGAUUGAUAUCUAUUCAAAAAUAGUCUCAUCAAUACUAGUUAAGAAAAUUCUGAAAAGUGUUCAACGAUAUUCCAAAUAUAUAUUGACGAAUCAAUAACUAUAAUAAUUUCAAUGAAGAAACUAACCUUUGUUAACAUUGAAUAAAAAAAGUUGACUUACCUUGUACGAAAAAUAGUUUCAGAUUAAAAAAAGUACUCUACUGUUGAGAAAAUAACUUUGCAAAUAAAAACUAAAUUUUAUCCUCUUAGUUACAUAGUCUUAUUUUUUCUCAAGGAACAUCGUCUCUUGAUGUAAUGUAUGUUUGUUGGAGUGAGAUUUAAGUUUCCAAUAAUUGAGGGGUUAGAUCAAUCUCUGAUUCAUCGGGUUAUUAGUGACAAAAUAACUUUUGCCUUGAUUUUCAGUAGAAGUUGGAUUAAUUCUGAUAACACAUAGUUAUGUGAGUCAGGACCAUCUAUGGACCAAUUGGGAUAGAUUGAUCCACUACAAAUGUUUUAAGCAGGGAAUAUUGGGUAAAACACACAAUAAAUAAGUAAUAUUUACAAAAGAAUCCCUAUAGUCUAGAGAAAAGCUUCAAAUUAGAGUGCUCUUGAUGAUGUGAAUCCCUACUCAGUCUACCUACUACAUAAGAAAUAUCACGUUUAUAAAAGCUCAUUAAGUGUAGUAAGCUCCCAAUUAUCUGGGUAUACUAAUGCUGAGAUAAUUAUUCUCCUCUAUUUUUUAUUAAUUUAAGGUUAGCAUUAUAAGGGAUACUCACAGGUUUGAAAUCAUAAUACCCAUACUUCUUAAAAAGUUUCUCAAAGUAUUGUUCUUGAGAUAGUAAUAUACUAUCUCACUUCCUUAUGAUUCUAACAUCUAAAAUCCUAGAAAUAAUUUAUUUUUGGCAACAAUUUCAUUCUCAUUCUCUAUCAGACACUAUUUAAUCAUUAUUCAUCGAAGUCUCAUUCAAAAAUACAAUGUGCUCAAUGGAUUCUACUCAAACAAUAGAUAACAAACAAUAAAUAAAUAUCAUUCCAAAAUAAUAGAUCAUUUCUUACUAUAAUCUAUCAUUAAAAUCAAAUUCUCAUUUAAUUUAAAACCCAUUAAUUUUCCUUUUGAAUCAAAUUAAUUUCUCUUUUUAAAUUAAUUUGAUUGUCAAUCAUUACUAAAUCAAUAAUAAUAAUUUUCUUCUCAAAAUUAUAUUAACUAUUAUUAUAAAUUAAUAUUUUCAUCUCUCUCCUUCUAUAGUUUUAUUAAUUAAUGUCAUCAAUUAUGAAUUUUGCACACUCCUGCUAGGUCUAAAGGUUCUUCAUCCUCUGCAGCAUCUCUUCCUAAAAUUAUGCUGCUGGUGCCACAUCGAUUCAACCACUAUCAUCAUCGUCAUCAUCCUCAUCACCUUCACGAGGAAGUAUAGUUUCUGGCCAGUCAUUGCCCUUGAGAAACAAAGGAAGACCAGAUUUUGUGCAAGAAAUGAAGAGCUGCAUAUUGUAGUGCUUAUCUCAUAUCCUAAUCAUAAUUUUCCAUCUAGUUUUAAGAAAUUUGAAUUCAGUUCCAUUAUGCUGAUCUCUUUUACAAAUCAGCAUAAAAGAACAUAAGAAAAAUAAAGUAUAUGGCGACAUUUAUGAUAUUAGUAAUAUUUUUUUUAUCAUGCAUUAUUUUAGUACAAGUACAUUUUAUGUGAUGCAGAAGAGUUAGGGUGUGAGAGGGCCAUGCAUAAGCUUGAGGAAGGCUCAUGGCUAGUUGUUGCAUAGAGCAUGCAAAGUGUGGAACCAUGAAUUUUCACACACGCUUGUCGCAUGGACACAUAUGAUGACUUGGAUAUACCAAAAAUCUCUUCAUACAUAAAGGUGAAUGUAGAGGCUCAAAUACAAAAUUCUGCCACACGUGUGUUUGGUCAAAUGUGACCUUGCACAGAAAGAAAGGUUAAAGGCAUGUGUGAGCUUCUUCAUUUCUCUUAUGGCCUUUCACUGAGGUACGUGGCUCUCCAUUUCUAAAGUGAGACUUGUAAGAUGCAUAUAUUCUUUUGUGUAGUUUAAGUUUCGCCGCAAAAGUUUAUCAUGUUCUUGUAUAUAUUUGGUUAUGUGGACCCAAGUGUUUUUCUCAUUCUAACUUUUAGUUGGAAUUCAUGAAAAUGAAUUUUCGGUAGCAAGUAAAUUUUGCCUCCUUUCAAGUGGGAAUUUGGUUUCUUAAUGUUACAGGGCGGUUUAUGGAGUAAUUUCGUUUGAUAUAAUUCGAACUGCUAAUCCAUGAAUCGAUGUGGAUUUUCUUUUUGGUGACCAGUAAACUUACGUUUUUUAAUCUGAGUGUAUGUUAAUCAUAAUCGUAUUUUUAGUAUUCCUAUUUAUUUAUAGAUGGAAUGGGAAUAGAUGAAAAUGUUAUAAUAGAGAAGAUAAUGUUUAAUAUAAUGUAUGAAAUUAAUCUAUUUUAUGUUGAAUAUACACAUAAUGUCAUUUAUUUAUAAUAGAAGGAAUAUGAAUUAAUGUCAAAAUACAAAUAAGACAUAACAACAAAUUAACUAAAUAUAAAAGAUAAAUAUAAAAUAAAGAUAAUAUAUUUAACAUAUAAUAAACUUCGUUAAAUUUGUUAGUGAGAUAAAGAAACUUUUUGAAUUUGUUAGUGAAUUCAAGAAAUGCAUUGAAUUUGUUAGUAAAUUAAAGAAAUUCGAUGAAUUUGUUAGUGAAUUAAAUAAAGUCGUUGAAUUUGUUAGUGAGAGUCUUUGAAUGUGUUGUUUUUGUUCACUUUCAUCAUUCUAACUAUGGUAAAUAAGAUCUCAGAGCUCUUAAAAGUGUCUUUAUUGGGUAUCAUUAGAAUAAAAAUUGGUACAAAUGUUAUCAUUCUCAGAGUCGUUGCGUUUUUAUCACCAUCAAUGUCACCUUUCAUGAAAUACAAUCCUUUUAUGUCAGUCUACCACUUUAAGGGAAGAAAAAACUUAAAGUGGAUGAACUCUCCUUCUUAUCAUUAUCAUGUUUGUCUUUGCAGGAUGUCCAAGGUUUGAGUAAUGAAGCUAUCAUAGUCCACAUUGAGGAAGAAGAGGAAGAAGACAAUUUUUUUGACAAAAAGUAUGAAAGAAGAAAACAACCCACGUCAACUUUCGACUAAGAAAAAUUGUCUAAUCUGAAAACGUGGAUCCCUGAAGAUAUCAGUGAGGAGAAAAUAAGUAUUACUGAGGAUUUACCUAUUGCAUUAAGAAAUGAAAGAAGGUCAUGUGCUAAAUAUCCUAUUUCUCAGUAUGAUUACACUAACAAUCUCUUUGAUAAGCACAUAAGCUUUAUUGUUGCCAUUGAUGCCACAAUAAUUCCUACCUUAAUUCAGGAGGCCAUAAAACUUGAACAUUGAAAUCAAGUCAUGAAAGAAGAGAUGAAUGCAUUAGAAAGAAAUUUCACUUGGGAAAUUGUUAAUAAGCCAAGAAACAACUACAAGAAAAAAGGGUAUUACCGACGGCCAUAAUUCUUCAAAAACAGUCAGAAACUGUUAAUAAUGACUAUUUACCGACAACUUAGCAACAAUCAUGAUUCCGUCGGUAAAUCUUUUGUCGCUAACAAUUACCGACGAUCUCCCAACAAAUGGUAUCAAAAUACAUAAUUCAAAUUUAAGGCCGAACAGAGUAGUUUGAAUAUUUUAUUUUAAAAGACAUUAUGUAAACAGUCUUUUUAUUGCAGUGUUUUAUAUAUAUAUAUAUAUAUAUAUAUAUAUAUAUAUAUAUAUAUAUAUAUAUAUAUAUAUAUAUAUAAUAUAAUAUUAGACUUAUUUUUAGAAUAACGAUAUAAUAUCUAUUAUAUAUUAAAUAUUAAUUGAGUUAAACAUUUUUAUUAUAUUAAUCUUUUGAUAAUUCUUGGUUAAAUAUAUGUUUUAGUCCUCGUAUUUGUUUUUCAUUCUCAAUUAGGUCCUCAUGUUUUUUUUUGUCCCAAUUGCAUCCUAAUAUUUGUAAAUUUGAGGCAAUUAAGCCCUUUUCGUUUUUUUUUGUCCCAAUUGCAUUCUAAUAUUUGUAAAUUUGAGGCAAUUAAGCCCUCUAAAUUGGCCUACGGUGUUAGUGGCUAGUAAUGGAGAGGGCUUAAUUGUCUCAAAUUUACAAAUAUUAGGAUGCAAUUUGGACAAAAAAUAACAUGAGGACCUAAUUGAGAAUGAGGAACAAAUAUGAGGACUAAAACAUAUAUUUAACCAUAAUUCUUUAAUAGGAUUUAUACUAUUUUAAUGAGUUGUUACUAAAACUAAGAAACCAAGAUCCAUCAUAACUCCUACUACCCCAUAUUGCAUAUAUUAGCUUGGUAUGCUUGUUUGAUAUCUAUUUUAAAAUAAGUUCUCUUUGUAUUUUUUAAAUUAAAAAUAUUUGUUUAAAUUUCUAACACAUUAUUUUUAGUCACUGUGAAUUUGUGUUAUAGGCACUAAAAAAAUAUAUUUAUAUUAUAAUAUAAAGAAAAUACAUUAUUUUUUAAUUAAUAAUUUUUUAAAAUUAAAAUAUUAUUUUUCAAUUUACUUUUUAGAUAACAUUUUUUAAUUUUAACUGUUAUUUUAUUUGAUUUUUUUAAUUAUUAAUUUUUUAAAUAAAUAAAAGAAAUAAAAUAAAUAUUUAGAAUAAAAAAUAUUUAUAGUAAAAUUAUAAAAAUUAUUUAUAUUUACUUUUAUAAUUAUAAUUUUAUUAUUUUAAAAAAAUAACAUAACAUUAGUUUUCGCAGGCCAAUUAAAUUACAAAAAUAUCUAUAGGAGUUACCCCUUCCGUCUCUCAUUAGAAUAUGUUAACCAAGUAUUGAAAAAUUAUCAAAUGUGUAUCAGUAUGAAAUGGAAGUAUUAGCAGCAGCAACAGUAAUUUUCUUAUUAUAACUUUAAGUUUUCUUAUUGCACCUUUAAAUUUUUUUAAAUAUCUAAACUAUAUUUUAUUAGGAUAAUUUUUUUUUCUCUUUUAUAAUUACUUCAUCUGUCUACUUUUAUUGUUAUAUUAUUAUUUUUUUAAUCUAUCGUCCAUCUCUCCCCUUUUCCUCGAGUUAUUAUUACUUUUCUCUCCACCCCACCUAUAGACUAUUACAUUUAUACAUUCUUCUCUUCCUCAACAUUUAACUUUGACUAAGUCAAAAAUACACAUUGGUACAUUUCUUUAUAAAUACUUAGUAUAAUGUAGAUAGAUAUAGAAAUUGAGGAUAUAGAAUAUAGGCUCACAAAUUUAGAGCAAUAUGAUUUACUAAUUUUUUAAAUUUAAUUAAAAAUUUAAUCAAAAUUCUUCGAUUAAGAAUUUCAAAAUAUAAUUUAACAAAAUUUUGAAAUCUGAAAUAAACUCUUAUAUCAUAUUAAUUCACCUUCUCAGAAAUAGACCACAACUUCGUUAUAGAAAGGAUAAUGAUACUUAUAUAAUAUUUUUUUGACAACAUUUAGACGUCAUUUAUGUGUCAUUGCGUGAUUGAUUUAUGGUGAUGUUUAUGAUUAUUAUUAUUGAUUGUUGAGUAAUUUUAAAUUAAUGACACAUUUAAAUGUUGUAAAGUAUCAUUAUUUUUAUAAAAAAUUGUCGGUAGCUCAAUUAGGAAUCGUAGGUAGCUCAGUUAAGAAUUGUUGUCAUGAGUCUAUGUAGGGAAAUCUAUUUAGAUUCAUCGGUAUGAGAGUCGUUCUUUUAGAAGUGAUACAUCAAAUAUUUCUUUUAUUUAUUUAGACAUACAAAUUGGUCUUCUAGAUUUUAUUAGAAUCGAGUCACUUUUAAAUUUAAAAAUAGUUAGAAGGGAUGCGUCAUACCUUAAAACUAACACUAUUGUGACGGAAAUCCUUUUUUAUUUUUUCCCUUAGUCCAAAUGCAACACAUACUAUAAGGGGCUUAUAUAUAAGUGUGUCAUUUACAGAGAAGUUAUAUUUAAACCGUGAUGGAUUUCUUCGGCAUGAAAAGUAUGAAGGCAGCUUACCUUGGUCUGAUAACAUUUCUGUUAAAUUGUAUUGGAAUAAAGCAUGGAAUCUCCAAAACCAAUCCUUUCCAUGAUUCAACUCUUUCCCUUCUAGUCACUGCUGUCUUUUCCCAUAUUAUUGCAUCGGCAGCUGACAUGGACAGCCCAAACACCAUCAUAACAUUUUAUUUGUCAGGGAUAGUUGCAUGUGAAACACUGCUGUGGAUUCUCAUUCAUCAACUUUCCUGGUUCUCUCUAGUUAACCUCCUUGUUUUACUAAUAGUUAAUUUUUUGUUCUCUCACUUCCUCACUCGGCUGUUCCUUCCCUACUUCAACUGCAUCACUCAGUUGCUCCGUGGAACACCUCCAAACGGUUCUGAGAUGCCAAAUACAGAAACGCAACCUUAGGACUCCCAGGUGUGGCAUCUCAGAUAUAUCCUGCUUCAUCAAUGUGUAGUUUUUUUAGUUGUGUUUCCGCCUUUAUGCUUAUGUUCCUAUCAUGUACUCUUAAUUUUUUUUCCUUUUAUGUCUGUUGGGGUCCCAUUUAAGUUUCUAAUAAUUACUGGUUAGAUUAAUCCCCAAACCAUCAAGGUUAUUAUCUUUAAAAUAUACCAAGCUAUUUCACUUUUACUCUGGUUUUCUGUACAAGUUGCAGUAAUUAACACUGUUCAUGAACCAAGUGGAAUAUGUAAUUCACAAUUGUAUUGUACCAAUUCUGUGUAACUAGUUGGUUGAUCAAUUUAACUUUUCUUGUUAAUGUUGCAAAAGAUUCAAUUCAGAAAAGCCCAACUCCACUGCAAACAUGCUUUAAGCAGGAUAUACUGGGUAAAACUUUCUGAAUAGGGCGAUACUUACAGAUGAAUCCCAAUAGAGAUAAAAAGGCUUCCCAUAAGAGUGCUCUUGACGACGUUGAUGGACUUUAGACUAGUUGUUGAAUCUUGCUGCACAGAAAACCAAAAUAACUUAACUGAACUGAAAACAACUAAUGAAACACCAUGUUAUAGCAGUUUUGUCUGCUGUGACUGAUUUUCAUUGCUUAACAUACACACCUUCUGCAAUAAACCAAGCGCAAACCUAAGCCCUAAACUUCAGGGUCACACCUGAUUUUUUGUUUUAAAAUAAAGCGUAUAUCGCUGUUUGAGAUUUAUACAUGAACAUCUAAGUCUAGUCCUAAGCGCUGCAAAUGUAUUUCUAUCUAUAGCCUCGAUUAUAAGGUAUGAACUGCUUUCCAGAUAUGCAAUGAACUGAACUAACUUAUUUUUCUCUUUCUUGGGUUCCAUGAAUAUGAACAUUAUAUUUUGAAGGGAUUUAAGAGAUAGCACUGUUUUAUUUAUUUUUAUCCCCACUCUGAAAUAGCUUCAUUGCAAUUUUGUCCCAAUGUAUUUGGGUUUUUCCUAGAAAGUUUGUAAAGGUGUUGUUGGUCCUGAGAUAUUUUAUGGUUCAGUAGGGGAUUUAGUUAAGUUGUUGGCCAUAGUGCAUGAAUUGUGAUAAACUCCUUGACAUGUGAUCAAUUCCUACUGAAGAAAAAACCUGAUACAUUAGAAUAGUGCUAAAAAGAGCUGAACUGAACAAAGCAUGUGAUUCUACAAAAUUGAAAACAUUUAGAAAAACCCCAAAUCCCAGUCCUAAACCACUUCUUUUGCUGUCAAAAUGUCCUAAGAUUAUCCACAAUAUAUGAAUGCAACAUUAUUUGAGGUUUAUCUCUAAAAUCCAUAUUUAGUCCAAAGAAAUUCAAAUGUGGUUUUUGUUUAGAUGGAAAUGUCAUUAUAAGUUCUAACAAGUUUCGAGUUGUUGUAAACGAGACAGCACCAUUUUUUUCUCUUUAUUAGAUUGCAUGAAACUUACUUUUAUGUGCUUAGUCCCUUCAAACCAGACAGGAGUGUAAUCAUCCCAUUCAUUUCUAUUGUCAUAAUUUAGUUGGCCUUUUCUUUUUCAAAUAUCUUGAGUUGCUACCAAGACAACUUCUAUUCCAACAUAGUCUAGAAUUGAGACUCCCUGCUUGUUUUUGUCAUUCAUUUUCUAUCAACAGUUUGUUUUUGAAUGAACUUGAUGCAGUAUGACUUCUCAUGAGAAAUGUAGGAAGUAUAGGUUUUCAAGUUUUUUGCUCAUACUUAACAAGUCUGUAUAAUUGCAGGUAUUGAGGCUCAACAACUACUAGUCAUCCAAAAUAGACUAGAAAUUUAAACUUUACAAAUAUAAAGUUUCUCAAAAUAUGGAAAAGUCUAAGAGAGAUCCUAAGAGUUAGGGGUGUGUCAUCUCCCUCCAAAGCAUGCUCCAGAGGUACGUCAUCUGCCUCUGCUCACAUCUAAAGUUGGAUGAUAAUUGCAAAAGGAAAAGAACACACAUACAACACAAACCAAGAAAUGCAAGGAUAAGCUGGGUUGGAAAAACAAGCCAUGUUAUAAUACAAGUUUGAAAUAAAGCAACGUAUUCACAGAACAAUAUAAAUAGAAUGUCCUAGCAUGUUAGAAUGCAAUCUAGACUCGUCCGGACUAGAAUGAAUAUUGAUCUGGGGCGGGUUGUGCACUUGUGGUGGCCUCUAUUGCCUUGCAAGGCCCUUGCAAUGGGUUCCACCCUACCACGCACAAGUGUAAGCCCUUUACCGCAUAAUAGGCCUCCACGUAGCACCUAUUACUAGGACCUCCCACUACUCUCACCACACGCGUCAAUCUUCUCUAAGUGAGAAUGAGAGACCGUUAGAGUGUUAGGGAUAAUCCCCCAUAUGGAAGCCUCAUAUAUUCAUUCUAAACACUAAGUGAUCUCACCUAGAGAUCUUACUUUAAUACUAUUCAAAUCAUAAUACAUCAUGCCCUCAAUCAUGUUGCAAAAUCAAGUCAUAUAUAUAUAACAUACAAGAUACUCUUUCAAUCCAACAACAUCAAUCAAUCCAUGGCAUAAGGACACUCAUGUUUAGGUAAGGAAAACAGCUCCGAAACUAUCACUAACAGCUCCAGAAGGGUCCAAAACCCCCAAAACGACCUAAGGAACGUCCAAAACGGACAUCCAGAACCCCACAAACUAUCACAAACAAAAACAACAGCAGAAAAAGGCACCCAGGCACCAUAAUUAAGGUGAAACAGCGCGUUGAAGGGUGCCCAACCCCCUUCAGGGGCGCCCAGGUGCCACACUCUGGCAAAAAGUCGAAUCAAAGGGCGCCCAACCCCCUUUUGGGGCGCCCAGGCGUGGCGUCUGUAGUGAAUUUCAUGAAUUUUCUGCAGAUUUUGCAGAACUCACCCACUCUUAUUUCGUUUUAGACCUUUUGGUGAAUUUCUAGCACUCAAAAUUCGAUCUAUAUGAUGAAUCUAACUUGCCUACUCAACUCUAACACUCCCUAAACAAAUUCUCUAAUGAUCUCACAUCAAUCUACAUUCAAAUUACUCAAUUUCAUCAACACAUAUGCCCAAUUCUAAUUUUACCAGUUAAGCAAUGUUUUUACCACUUUUAAAACUUUUAACAAGUCACAAUUGACUUGUUUAAAUGGUCUUGAAUGACCAAAACCACCUCGAAUACCAAAUUCAAAAUAUGACUACCCUAGUUCCUCUAAUCUGACUCUAACUUUCAUAUUUUUGUUUAUGUAUUUACCCAGUAACCAUUUUUAACUCAUUCAGUACUUCUAAUAGAUCUUAUCUAACUUAUUUCAACCAUCUCAAAUGCCUAAAACCAUUUCUAACUCCGAUUGCUUCAUUUGGCUACCUCACUUCUUCCUAAAUUAUCCUAGACUCUAUUAUGAACUGGGACUUGUAUCAGUAACUUAUAAAAUGGCUAUUCACAAAUUAUACUACUAAAUUCCCACAUCAUAUACUGCACAUACCAGAUUGAAUAAAACAUUCGCAAGAUCAUCACUCCUCCACACCACACAACAAUAUAUUCUAUCAUCACUUUCAUCACAGUUUAACUUAAACAAUCAAAAUGCCCAAAUCAGUAUCAUAUCUCCUUCAGCCCACAUAUUUCAAACAAAAUUAAAUUCAUGCUAUUUCCUAACAUCUUAAACAGAGAACAUAAACCUAAGCUUCCCUUACCUUUGAUUCCAGCAGCUAAACUCAAGAGAACUCUAAAUGCACCCUUAUGCUUCCAGAAACGCUACACUCACCUAAAAAUCACCAUUUGGUGAUAGAAUUUAAAUUUAAGGGUUUAAUUGAUGCUAGAAUUGGAAAGGAGACAAAAAUGGUUACAUGCAACAGGAUUGGUUGCAUGAUCACAACCCUAAGAUGAACAGAAAGAGGAAAAAUAUUACCAGUUACAAGAAGGGGAAAUUGAUCAGUUGAAUUUGUUGCUCUCGAAGCCCGGAUCACCUAGACAGUUUCAGACCAACAAACUAACGGUUCAGUGAUUUGGAAUGCGGGUGGAGAGGAUGUAGAGCAAGGAAGGAGAAAAGGUUAAAAGAAGGCCGUGGCUCUUUAGACAAUGGGAGGAAACUUAGAAUUUUUUUUUUUAAGCUAUUAGUUUUUCUUAUAAACAUUCAACCCAUUAUCUGUUGUUACAUGGACAUCCCAAUGCUGUCUUUUUCUCAGGCUUUACAGUUACUUUUUGUUAUUUUAAUUAUGGAUUUUAUUCAUCAGAAAAAAAUGGACAGAAAAAAUAAAAUAAAUUGAAUACGGAUAGAAUAGGAAUAAUGAAAUGUUGGAAAAUAAUAGGUAACUUCGUUUUUUCUAAGUUUUUGUAAGGGGCCGCUUGCUGUACCUGAUACCUGAUACAAUACCUGAUACCACUCUUCCAAUUACCCAUAUGACCCUAAAAGGCCACAGCCUUGUAAAAGACUUAGUAUAUAUAUAAUCCACUUUUCAGAAAAAGGCCACAGCAAAAGAAUAUAAGAUAGAAUAGGGAUAAUGAAAUGUUGGAAAAUAAUAGGUAACUUCGUUUUUUCUAUUAUUAAAUAGAUUUAGUGGUCCUAUUUUGACUGAUUUUUUUCAAAUAGAUUCUUGUAUUUCCAAAUUGAUCAAUUUAAUCCCUAUUUUUAUAAAAUUAAAGCAAUUAACUCUAUUCCGUUAACUUCUCUUAACAGCGUUAAAAAUCUUACUUACUGGCCAGAUGAGGUGUUAUUUUCAAAAGACGUGGCAUAUUUCUAUUUAUUCUCUCAAUAAUAUUUUGCAGGUAAUAUUGGUUAUUGAAUUUAUUAUUUUGUUGACUUGAAAACAAAGCAAGAAAUCAGUGCCCGAGUCAGUCCAUACCCAUCACACUGUUGGAUUUCAAAGACCUUCCAAUCUGGCGGUGUCCAUUGUUCCGAUGCAGAACCGUUUGGGUGCAGCGUCAUCUCUUUCCUUAGAACGAACCAAGCAGAGACAACCCUUCUUCCUUUAACUCACUUUCUCUCUUCACAAAAAGAAAAAGAAAAAAAAAUUCAAACCAGACCCUAAUCUCAAAUUGAAUCUUUUGACAAGGUUUAUCUUCGAAUCUAUUUCUCCUUCAGACCCAGAUCGCUUUUCUUCGGACCCUAAUUCUACACCUCCAAAUUUUCGAUCUUUUUGUGCCUCUGAAUCAUGAAGAAGGAGGAGAAAGACCCAGGCAUUCAGAAAAGUGGAGGCGCAAUCGAAGAUGUCGAACCCAUCGAGCUCGUUCUGUUUCAAGUGCCUGAGUGUUACGUCUACAUAGUAAGUCUUCCAUCUUUCUCUUCGUAGGUUUGUCUCAAAAUUCGAUUUUGGGCAAUGGGUUUUGAGAGGGGUGUGAUUUCAAUUUACAGCUUAGUGGGCGUGUGCAAGUGGUGGCGCUCCCUCAUCGACACCACCCACUUCAUCCUAUUCCACCUCAGCAAAUCCCACACCACCCUCAUUCUCCAUCACCGCUUCCACCUCUACACCGUCGACCUUCAAUCCCUCGAGAAAGCCCUUGAAAUCACUCCCUCUCAUGUGCUACAGCAACAGCCUCAUCUGUAUCUCCAACGUUGCCGACGACAUCGCCUUAUGGAACCUUCACCUCCGCAAGCACCGGAUUCUCCCCGCUGACCGCUUCAACUGCUCGGACUUCUCCCUCUUUGCAGCCCGCGUCCACAGCUUCGGCCACGAUGCCGCCUCCAAUGACUACAAGCUCGUCAGCAUUACUUACUUCGUUGACCUCACGCGCAAGAGCCUUCAUGAAGUUGAACUCCCUGCAACCUUGAAAGGAAAUUUCGAUAUGGAGGUGGAUCUGUUGGGAGGGUGUUUGUUCCCCAAUUUUCCUAAUUCUUAAAACGUUUCCCCAAUUCUUUAAGGUUUAAUACCUAUUUUGGUCCUUCCUUUGGGAGGGUUUGUUCAAAGUGCUCCUUCCUUUUUUAAAAAGUUUACUAUAGUCCUAGAUUUCGCAAAAACUGUUCAAAGUGACCCUUUUUGGUUACGGCGUUAACUAGACUAACGGCAGAGCUGCCAAGUGUGUAAUAUGUGAUGAUGUGACAUUGUUUUGUCUUUUAAAAAAAUAAAUAAUUGUGACGUGUAAUUAAAAAAUGAAUUAGGGAUAAUUUUUGGUGUGUAAUUAAGUAAAUCAUCUUGUUACAGUACUGAUUCAUUGUUAUUGUUCCAAAUUUUAAAAGCAAUGGUUAAGGUUUCUGGUUAUUUUCUCCAGAGUUUUCAAAAGUUAAAAGGCUAGGGUUUGGAAUGGCUUCUUCACAAAGUGGUUGUUCUUGUUCGAAGACAACGGGCAAAGGAGCUUCGCAUUCAUCACAGGUUGGUGUUUCGAGGGGUGUUGGGAUAACCCCUAUGUGCUUCUCAUGAUGAAUGACUAGGUUGUAUCGAGGUGUAGAAAACGAAUAUGGUGGAAUGAUGCUGCGAUUUGGGUUUUUGCAGAUUAGGGGUUUUUUGAUUUGGGAUUUUAGGGUUUUCUGUACAGUUUGUGUGAUUGAGGUUGAGGAAAAAGGAAAUUGAGAUUGAAUGAAGGUUUUUCUCGUACUUGGAGAUUGCGAGGAAAAAGGAAUUCUCCUCUUUUUUAUGCUGCUGCAAACAUCCUAAGAGGCUUUNANUANUUAAGAAUAAAGACAUCCAUUAAACAAAGAAGUCUCACAUGUAUCAUCUAGAGUAUCAACAACCAAGGAAAAUUGAAGUACGAAACCAGUCUUCAGCUANUCAUGAAAACUUUAAUAAAGCUUUUAGGUCUGUGACAGCUUCUUCAAUGGCAUAAACUAUCAUCUUCUUGUUCAACAAAAACAUAUAUCGAAUAAUAUAUUCUGUUAGGUAUCCUUAAUAUGUAUGAUAGCCAUAUACGCCAGGGAGCACAUUGCACAAUUUUUAAAGAAAAGGGGGACCACAUUUAACAUUUUUAAACCAUUGGGGGGACUAAAACGAACUUUUUUACACGAACCCAGAUUGUUCAUUUUAAUUACAGUAGAAACGGAUAAUCAUCCUCUACAUGAAGAACACAUAAAAUUUUCAAAAUUCUCAAAACAUUCCUUGUAGUUAUGGCAACUUUCGUUACAACAAUGUGAGGAAUGUGAAAAUCCUUUGCCCCAUGUCUUCAAACAAGAAGAACAACUUUGUGAAGAAGUCAUUCUUAACCCUAACCCUUUGCUUUUAAAUUUUGGAACAACAACUUUGCUAACUGCAGCGCAGCACGAAUGGCCAGAAAACCCAUUCGUUGUUGAACGAACCACACUCUUGAGCAAACCACGAAUUCAAUUACACUACGAACGCAAUUUCACCAGGAAUCGAAAUUUGGGUUGCUGAACCAGAUUGUUGAACCCUAAAUCGCCCUUAAUUCGCAAGUUGAUUUUACCCCAAAUGCAGUUAAUCCUAAUUUUAUUUUAACCCUAUCUUUUAAAUAUUCCACAUGAUUUUAAAUUACGUUUAUUUUAACACAUAUAAAACAUCACAGUGCCACGUCAAUAAUGAGUUUCCAACUCAUCAAAUUUGUGCUAAGGAGGCAGUUCUACCGUUAGUCUUUUUAACGCCGUAAGCAAAAAGGACUAACGUGCACCGUUUUUGCGAAAAGUAGGAUAUUAUUGAACUUUUGAAAAAAGAGAGGACCAUUUUGAACAGACCCUACGAAAAGAGAGACCAAAAUAGGUAUUAAACCAUUCUUUAAAAUUACAAACUUAAUGCACUUGCGAUUUUUAUUUUAAAAUCUAAACAAAUAAUUUAAAUCCAAAUAUCUGCCAUGUCUUUCGAAAAUGACACCUCAUCUUGCCAGCAAAUAAGAGUUUUAAAACUGUCUAGAAAAGUUAACGGAAUAAAGUUAAUUACUCUAAUUUUGCAAAAAGAGGACCAAAAGCCAAAUAUUUAAGCUUCUAUGUUUUUGUAAGGAGCCGCUUGCUGUAAGGGGCCGCUUACAAUACCUGAUACAAUACCUGAUACCACUCAUAUGACCCUAAAAGGCCACAGCCUUGUAAAAGACUUAGUAUAUAUAUAAUCCACUUUUCAGAAAAAGGCCACAGCUUCCUUUUAAACAAUAUAACCUUCCCUAAACUGUGAUGGAUAUCUUCAGCAUGAAAAGCAUGAAGGCAGCUUACCUUGGUCUCAUAACAUUUCUGUUAGGAUGUAUUGGAAUAAAGUAUGGAAUCUCCAAAACCAAUCCUUUCCAUAAUUCAACCCUUUCUCUUCUCGUCACUGCUGUUAUUUCCCAUCUUAUUGCAACAGCAGCUGACAUGGCCACCCAAACACUAUCAUAACAUUUUAUUUGUCAGGGAUAGUUGCGUGUGAAACACUUCUGUGGAUUCUCAUUGCUCAACUUUCCUGGUUCUCUCUAGUUAACUUCCUUGUUUUACUAAUACUCAAAUUCUUGUUCUCUCACUUCAUCACUCAGCUGCUUCUUCCCUACUUCAACCGCACCACUCAGUUGCUUCUCAGAACACUUCCAAAUGGGUCUGACAUGCCAAACACAGAACAGCAACAGCAGGACUCCCAGGUGUAGCAUCUCAGAUAUAGCCUGGUUCAUCACUAUGUAGUUUUUUAGUUCUGUUUCUGGCUUAUGCUUAUCCUCAUAUUAUGUAGUCUUAAUUUUCUGUAUUUGUCCUGAUCAUUACGGGGUAGAUUAAUCCCCAAAUCAUUAGUUAUUAUCUGCAAAAUAGACCAGGUAUUUUACUUUUACUUUGAUUUUCUAAUUAACACAAUACUGUUCAUAGACUAACUGGGAUAGGUAAUUCACAAUUGGAUUAAUCAAUUUAACUUUUCUUGCUAAGGUUAAAAGAUUCAAUUCAGAAAAACUCUACUAAAAACAUGCUUUAAGGAGGAUAUAUUGGGUAAAACUUUCUGAAUAGGGCAAUACUUACUGAUGAAUCCCAAUAGCAGAAAAAAAAAGUCUUCCCCAUAAAAGUUCUCUUGACGAUGUUGAUGGACUUAAGACUAGUUGCUGGAUCUUGCUGUAUAGAAAACCAAAAUAACUUAACUGAACUGAAAAUCCUAAAUCCUAAACUGAGAACAACUGAUGAAAGACUUUGUUUUGUCUGCCAUGGACCACUUUCUGCAUUAAAGCAAGCGCAAACCUCAGUCCUAAACUUCAGGGUCAUACCUGCUUUAUAAAUGUUUAGUAUAGUAUAAUAGAAAUUGAGGUUGAAGAGUAUACGGUAUAAGAUUUACUAAACUUUGAAAUCGAUAUCGAACUUCCAGCUGAUUAAGAAUUUUAAAAUAUAACUUAAUUAGAUUUUAAAAUCCGAGAUUUUAAAAUUAUAUAUAUAUAUAUAUAUAUAUAUAUAUAUAUAUAUAUAUCAAUUGUUAUUUUUUUUAAUUUUAAUUACUUUUAUUUAUUGUAUUUUAUUGUUUUGGGUUUGAAGUUUUUGUUUUUUUCAUAAUUAUUAAUUUAAUUUGUUAUUUAGAGAAAAUAUAAACAAAAAACUUUAAAAGAUGGUUAGCAAAAAAAAUGAAACAGAAAAAAAAUAAAAUAAUAUCAAAAUUUGAAAUCUAAUAGAAUUAUGUUAAAUUGAAUUUCUUAAAUUAAAUUUUAAAAUCUAAUAUAUACAAAAUAUGAUAAAGAAAUAUAAAUUUUAAAGAAAAAAAUAUAUAAAACUUUCAACUCAAAGAUGAACAAGAUGAAGGAAAAAUAAAUCAAGGGAGCAAUUGACCCUGAUGCUGAGGAAUAAAUGUCCAAUGAAAAAAAGAUGAAAUAAACCAGAGAUCAAUGGACCCCAAAAGGAGGAAGAAAUGUAAACGGAAACUGCUAAAACAAACUUACAAUUUUUGCCAGGAAAUACAAGUAUCAUAUCAUACUUGUCUGAGUCGUUACCAAAACUAAUCAUCAAUUUUAAUAUCAUUUGUUAAAUUUAUCAAAGAGGAUAUUUAUUAAAGAGAUAUAAUAUUAAUAAAAUUUAAACUCAAUCACAUAAAUAAUUAACAUUACUUUUUAUCUAAAAUUUUAAAACAAUAAAUUAAUAGAUUUUUACCUAUUUAUGUUGAAGAGUUUUAAGAGUUUUAAGACACAUGGGACUAGUGUCUUGUGACCUUACCUGACCCAAGCAUCUAAUAUAAAACCAAGUUAUCUCAAAUCCAAGUAGCGGCAUGUAGGUGGUAGGUGGAAGGGUACUGGUCUUCCUGAUAUCAAACUGAACCAUAAUAAAACUUAACUUACUUUAAAGGAUAUAACCAAAUUCCUACUUUCUAAAUUUGUUUUUAACUAGAACACCAUUUAUAUAUGGAACUUUUAAAUUUUACUAGAAGGAAAUUAUUUAUAUACAUCUAAAAUAUUUGUUUGCAUGUAAAGAGAGAAAAAAAGCGUUAAAAUAUAUGAAAACUACUCAGCAAAUUUACUCUUUAGAAUAUUUUUUUUUUAAUUUUAGUGGUUAUUUUAUUUGAUUUUUUAAUUAUUAUUCUUUAAAUAAAUAAAAUACAUAUUUACAAUAAAAUUGUGAAAGUUAUUCAUAUUUAUUUGGUUUAAUUGCUUCAUCUUAUAUUAAGUGAUUUUUUUAGUAUCCGAUUUUAAAGGUGUAAAUUGAGUUUCAAAAUUGUAAAAAUUGUAUCAAUAAAAUCAUACGGUUAAGUUGAUAGCAUAUAUGUUUGUGUUCUCUCUUGUGUCUAGUUUUUUUUUCUCUCUUUCGUAUUAAUGGUUUCUAAUUUCAUUUUUUUUCUAACAGUCAAAUCCACUAAAUUUUAUUAGGUUUAAUGUUUCAAUAGGUCCCUAUUUUUGUCAAGAAUCUCAAAUAGGUCCCUGUCUUUUUUUGCGUCUCAAUUGGAUCCUUAUUUUUGUUAAAUUAAUGUAAAUAAAUCCUUUCUGUUAAAUUUAUCAAACGGUGUUAAUGAGUGUGUUAGGUGGCAUGGUAACAGUGUAACGUGUCAUUAAAAAGAUGGACCAAUUCUAUUUUUUUAAAUUUUGAAUUAAAAAAUUAAAUAAUCAUAUUGGAAAUAUAAUUAAAGAAAGGGUAAAGUUGGAAAAUCUCAUUUAACUUUUCGUUGAAAGUUUUCAUCCACUCGACAACAACAACGCAGAGACGAACCCUAAAACUCCAAUUCCCCCAAUUUAAUUUUUGAUUUUGCAAUUGCAACUGGUUGCUCAUUUCAAAGGGUGGCGCUACUUUCACAACCAUAACUUGCACCUUCCAGAAACUUCAGAGAUCACAGGAUGGUUUCACACUGUCUAUGUUAGGUGGUUGGAGUUUCGAGCAGACAAUGUUGCUCCCCCAAUUCAAUCUCUCUCAACCUUCUGCGUUGUUCCUAUGGUGCUCGUUCAAAUUUCCAUGUGCAAUGAGAAAGAGGUGACACGCUUCUCUUAAUCCUACCCCAUUAAAGUUUGGUGCUUUCAAGCAAAAAAAAAAAAAUACUAUGGUUAUUCAAGUUCCCAGAGAUAUCCUAUGGUGCUAGUUCAAACUCCCAACUUGAUGGGCCAAAAGAUCGGUUAUUCAAGUUCAAAUUCCUAUGCUGAUUUCCAACCAAAUCCAGAUUUCCUCCAACAAACUGUUCCACAUUUUAAGGUUGCUAAAUCUUUUCCCUUCUUCCUUUUUUAUUAUUCUAAAUAAUCCAUACGAGUCCUAAAAUUCCAGUUCCCCAAUUUCAUUUUUGUUAAACUUCAGUCCCUAAUUUCAUUUCUGAUUUGGUAAUGGCAGAGAAAAAGACUUUUAGCAGAAAGUUGAAUGAGAUUUUCCAGCUUUGCCCUGUAUUUCUAAUAUGUUUAUUUAAUUUUUUAAUUUAAAAUUUAAAAAAAUAGAAUUGGCCCACGUUUUUAAUGACACGUUACACUGUUACCAUGCCAUGUCGCACACUUAUUAACACCGUCUGAUGAAUUUGACGAAAAUGAUUUAUUUGCAUCAAUUUAACAAAAAUAAGGACCCAAUUAAGACGCCAAAAAAGACAGGGACCUAUUUGAGAUUCUGGACGAAAAUAAGGACCUAUCGAGACAUUAAACCUUUUUAUUGUUAUUAUGAAAAUUGAUAAUAUAAAUCUUUUAUUCAAACAAGAGUAAUUGGUUGAGACCAUGGGCGGCCGAGUGGUUGAGGCCGAACGACCAACAUGAUUGCAUGUUGAUGCCAAAUUUUACGGUGAGGCCGAAAGGCCGAGAGCUUGAGGCCGAAUGGCCGAGAGGUGCAGGCCUUUGGAGGCCGAGUAUUGAGGCCAGUUGAUGGCCGAACGGUUUGAGGCCUUUUGUGGGCCGAGAGGUUGAGGCCUUGAAGGCCGAGAGCUUGAUGGCCGAAUGACCGAGAGUUGGGGGCCAGUAGAUGGGCGAACAAUUUUGAGGGCCAUUCUGUUGGCCGAGAGCUUGAGGCCAGUAGACGGCCGAACGGUUUUUUGGGCCAUUCUGUCGGCCGAGAGGUUGAGGCCAAUGGAGGCCGAAAGCUUGAUGGCCGAAUGGCCGAGAGCUUGAGGCCAAUAGAUGGCCGAACGGUUUUUUGGGCCAUUCUGUCGACCGAGAGGUUGAGGCCUUUGGAGGUCGAAAGCUUGAUGGCCGAAUGGCCGAGAACUGGGGGCCAGUAGAUGGCCGAACGGUUUGAGGCCUUUCUGUUGGCCGAGAUGUUGAGGCCUUGAAGGCCGAGAGCUUGAUGGCCGAAUAGUUUUGAGGGUCAUUCUGUUGGCCGAGAGGUUGAGGUCUUUGGAGGCCGAAAGCUUGAUGGCCGAAUGACCGAGAGCUUGAGGCCAGUAGAUGGUUGAACGGUUUUGUGGGCCAUUUUGUCGGCUGAGAGGUUGAGGCCUUUGGAGGCCGAAAGCUGGAUGGCCGAAUGGCCGAGAGGUUGAGGCCUUGAAGGCCGAGAGCUAGAGGCCAGUUGAUAGUCGAACAGUUUUAAGGGUCAUUCUAUUGGCUGAUAAAGGUUGAAAAACAGUUAUUUUCAUAUGUCAAUUUGGACCAAAUUACACCCUUUACUACUCGGAAUGAGCUUAGAAUCAAGAAAACUCAAUAAAUGAGUCUGAAGAGAGUCAAAAGCUGUUUUUAGCGAUUUUAUGCUUAUUUUGCAUUGUUUUGUAGCUAAUUUGAGAAAAGUAAAGAAUGGAGUCGAAGAUACAGGUCGUUGACUCAAGAAAAGAACAGAAAAAUGAAGUUUUGAAAAGUCGACAUACCGCCCGGCGGCAAUGAUAAAGGUUUUUGGAACGAUUUGAAAGAAUGGUUGAAUUAUUAAAUGGUUGGAGUGCAAAAAAGUCAACCGGUCAACCAAAAAAGUCAACCAGUCAACUAGUUGACCAGAAUGCUGAAAAGUUGACUAGAACGCAGUUGACCAGCGCCGGGCGGUAGCGAUUGCCGCCGGGCGGUGGCGGCGGAUUAUGGGAAACCGCCGGGCGGCACACUUAAACCGCCCGGCGGUGGCUCGCUGGACUUGGGCCUGUUUUAUGUUAUUUUUAUGAUCUGUUUGGGCUUGGACUUGUUUUAUGUCAUUUUACGCCCUAUUUAAAGGCCAUAACGUCUUAGGGUUGGUAUCUUUUGAUGGCUUAGGCACAGAAACACACUUUUCACCCUUUUGGGGCUAGAUUUGGAGAUGAUGACAACUCUCCUUUUCUCCUUUUUAGGGUUUGUAUCUCUUUCAUUCCAUUCUUCACCUAGUUUCUCCAUGACGAUGGUAAACUAAAUCCUAUUGUUGUUGGGGGAAAACAAUGUAAUCUUUUGAUACUCUCUCUUAUUGAAACUAUUGAUUAUUUAUAUGGUCUCCAUAUGUUUUGAUUGAUUAUUGUUGGAUUAUCAUCUGUGCUUAAGGCCUUUAUCGUUUAACUCAUUCGGUAUAUUGAUGUUUGUCUUUAUUGAUAUGGGGACGUACAAUAAUGACAUGAACUGGUGAGUAAUCUCUUGAUUUUGCAAUACCACCUAGGGAUAGGGGUAGGACGAUCAAUUGCACUAACUUCUGUUUAUAAUGUGGUAUUAAUUACUAGGGGAGGCUAGGGAUAGCAAGCCAGUAGUUAAUAUUAGGCCAUUUUCGCCGAGGGAUCGGGUUGAGGGGAGGCUAAGAAAGUCGCAUAACAAUUGAAUCAAUCAACUAAUAUUCAAGGGUAGUAUGUAAGAGAGAGUAGAAUAAAUGAAAUUGUUAGUACUCAACAACAUCCAUUCAUCCAUUGUUUUGUGUUUAACCUCAAUUGAUCAAAUUGCAUUCAUGUUUAUUUUUCUGCACUUUAUAAAAAUCCCAAAAUAUUAUUUUUAUAGUCUUGAUUGGUUAAGCAAAAGCACAACAAUUUAGUGCCGUGAGUCUCUUGGAAAAACGAUACUUGGACUUACCAUUUUAUUAUUACUUGAACGAUUUGGUACGCUUGCCAAUUUGUCAACAUUGGCCGAGAGGUUGAUGCCUUUGGAGGCCGAAAGCUUGAUGGCCGAAUGGCCGAGAGAUUGAGGCCAGUUGAUGGCCGAAUGGUUUGAGGCCUCGUAGGCCGAGAAGUUGAGGGCUUUGGAGACCGAGAGCUGGACGAUGUCCCUUUCCUUAAAUAGGCGAUCCUUAAUGUGUUGGGGGUGGCAGGUCGUAGCCGUUCACCGCCCGGCCAGGUUGACAGGAGUGAAACUCCGUUCAUCAACCUGGGUUUCUUCAGGAUGUUGGGGGUGGCAGGCGUAACCGUUCACCGCCCGGCUAAGUUGACAGGAGUGAUACUCCGUUCAUCAACUUGGGUUUCUUCGAGAUGUUCAGAGGCCGUGAGGGAGGGAUCCCUUGAGGGGCUCGGUGGUCGUGAGGGACGGAUCCCUUGAUGGGCUCGGUGGCCAUGAGGGACGGAUCCCUUCAGGGGCUCAGUGGUCUAGAGGGACGGAUCCCUUGAGGAGUGGACGAGGCCGAGAGGAUGAAUAUUCAAGGCCAAACGGCCGAACCAUUUAUGCCAAAUUUUGCAAGAAUACCUGCGAGGCCUGGUUUGAGAAGUUACCUGAAGGGUCAAGCUUUAUGACCGAACGACUGAUGAAGUCGAGAUGCCGACUUUAUGACCAAAGUUGGCUAAGUACCUACGAGGCCAGGUUUGAGAAGUUACCUGAAAGGUAAAGCUAUAUGACUGGGAUGUUAAAGAAUGAGGCCAAGGGCCGAGAAAUUGAUAAGGCCGAGAGGCCGCAUGGUUGAAUCCGGAUGGCUGAGCCGUUAAGCCCGAAGGUUGAAUGGUUAAGGCUGAGAGGUCGACUGGUUGAGGCCGAGAGGCCGCUUGACUGAGAACCUUAUAAGGCCGAAGGCCGAGUCGUUGAGACUGGAUGGACGAGACCGAGCGUUUGGAGAUGUUCGCUUUACACUCUUGAGAGCACUGCUCAACUUUUUUAUUGCCCGAGAGGUUGAGGCCUUUGGAGGCCGAAAGCUUGAUGGCAGAAUGGCCUAGAGCUGGGGGCCAGUAGAUGGUCAAACGUUUUGAGGCCAUUCUGAUGGCCGAGAGGUUGAGGCCUUGAAGCCCGAGAGCUGGCGGCCAGUAGAUGGUCGAACGUUUUGAGGCCAUUCUGAUAGCCGAGAGGUUGAGGCCUUGAAGGCCGAGAGCUUGAUGGCCGAAUGGCCAAGAGCUGGAGGCCGAGAGGCCGGGUGGUUGGGGCUGAGAGGCCGAAUGGUCGAGGCCGAUGGGCCGAGCGGCUAGAAGUUUGCCAAAUUUGGCUAAGGCCGAACUGUCGAGAAGUCGAGGUCGCUGAAGGCCAAGUUUAGGGCCGAACGGUCCAGAUGUUUGAGGCCCAUAGGUGGCCGAGUAGUUGAAGCCUUUGGAGGCCGAACAACUUGAGGCCAUGGAGGCCGAGAGCCGCUGCCAGGCUAUGGGCCGGCGAUGGAGGCCGAGCACAUGAGGCGGAACGGCCGGGGUUGAGUGCUGGUAUCAACUUUGGCUAAGAGUGAGAGGCUGGAUGACUGGGAGCUCGAGCCCUUUGGAGGCCGAGUGUUGAGGCCAGGUUAUGGCCGAGCGGUUGAAGCCUGAGGCUGACUAGCCGAGUAGAUGUGGCUGAGAGGCCGGAUUGUUAAGGUCAGAUGGCCAAGUCGUAGAGGUCGACAACGUGAGGGGAGGCUUGUUGGCCGAACGGUUGAGGCCUGUUGGCCAAGACCGGGUGGCUGAAGAGGUUUCCUGGUUAGCCGAACGGUUGAGACCUGUUGGCUGAGACCGCGUGGCUGAAGAGGUUUAUAAUGUCAUGUCUAAUUAAAAAGAAGAAGAAAGAAUUCUAUUUAAGAUUCUGGACGAAACUAGGACCUAUUGAGACAUUAAACCAAACAAUUAUGAUCGAGAUUCUGACAAAUAAGUUUACAAAGUGUUCAACCAUAUCAAUGAUCAAACAUAAACAAUAAUAAAUUCUUAAAAUGCAUAAAAAAGUAUAGUGAGUGUGCACAUAUUGAAAUAAACCGGCAAAAAGUGGGCGGAACAUAAAAUGUUGCACAAAACCCACGAUAAUAAAUGUACACACUUUGCACUGUACAAAAAGUAACAUCAUUUUUAAGUCUGAAUACCAAAAAAUUAUGGAUUUCAACAACUAAACCGCCCAAACCAAUACUACUCUCAAACCGCGGGUCAACCAAACCCCUGAGUGACAUAUUAGCUUCAAUAUAUUUAGGGUUAAAUAUGUUUUUAGUCCUUAUACUUUUGGGUGAUUUUGGUUUUAGUCUAUUUUCAAACUAAGGUACAAUUUAGUCCUUCAACUAUAGAAAACUCUGGUUUUAGUCCUUUUUACCAAAUUUUUUUAACUUUAUUUGCUGUUUCAAACGCGUUUCUCAGUUAAUAUUGAAACAAAAAUGUGUCAAAUAGUAUAAACAAUCCAAAUGCUAUAACGAAACGUGCUUGAAACGACAAAUAAAGUUAAAAAAAUUUGGUAAAAAGGACUAAAACCAGAGUUUUCUAAAGUUAAAGGACUAAAUUGUACCUUAGUUUGAAAAUGGACUAAAACCAAAAUCGCCCAAAAAUAUAGAGACUAAAAACAUAUUUAAUCAAUAUAUUUAUUAACCUCUUGUGAAUAAUGAGAGUCUACCAUUGUUAUUUUACUUUUCAAAAUUAUACGAAAAUACAAUAAUAUUUUCAGUUUUUUCAGAUUAUAUUAAUAUUUUAAUUUUUUAAAAUUUGUACACAAAUUAAAAAAUAAAAUAAAAAGGUAAAUGUAAUUUAAGAAAACUACAUUAUUAAUUUGUAUUGAUAUUAUUCUUCUAUUUUUCUUCACCUAUUACUUUUUUUUUUCUGUAAACCACCUUUUAUAUUAAAAGAGCAAGAGAAACUAGGAAACCACCAAAAGAAGAUGUGUGACAUCCAUUAUAAGAACUAGGAAUAGAAAUUGCAUAUGUUAGCUUGGUAUGUGUACUAGUUUCAUAUCUAUUUUAAAAUAAGUUCUCUUUGAAUUUUUUAUACUGAAAAAUAUUUGUUUAAAUUUAUAACACAUUAUUUUUAAUUCCGGUGAAUUUAUACUAUAGGUACUAAAAAUUAUAUUUAUAUUAUUAUAUAAAUAAGAUUCAUAACUUUUUAAUUAAUAACUUUUUAAAUUAAAAUAAUUAUUUAUUUUAACUAAAACCACGUAGAGAGUUAAAAUUAGAUAAAAAAGUUAGUGACUCAAAGUCACAAAUUGCUUAACAAAUAUUUCAAAAGUCUUUGAAAAUUGAAGUAUUAAGUUGGGGAUAGCUCUGUUUUGCUAAAGAAGAGAAGUGAAUUAUGUUUACAAUUUUGUCAUCUUCUAGAUUCGGAAUCUUUUACACAUACUGCUCAAUAAAGUUAUAUAUACCUAAGGUUGCGUAAACUAACUUUAACUAUACUAACUUAUAAUUAAUUAUAUUUUAAUAAACUAAAAAAAACUAAACUAUUUAAGAUAAAAAUUAAACUAAACUAUUUUAAAGUUCAAUUUUAAAAAACUAUAUUAUAACAAACUAAAAAAACUAAACUAUUUGAAAUAAAAAUUUAAUUAAACUAUUUUAAAAUUCAAUUUUAAAUAAUUGAACUUAUAUCAAUUAAUUAUUAAGUAAACUGAAUUUGGUAUUCAAUUCUUAAGAACACUCUCGGCCUGCAAGAAGCUACCGAAUGAGAACAUUUCCAGUUUUUGGUUUCCAGUUUUUCGUUUCACGCAGUCUUUCACACAAAUUAUUAAGACUAUUGAAUACUUUAAAAUCAGAAUUUGAUUAUAAUUUUAUUUUUAAAUUAAUGUUUUGAGAACUAUGUAAAAAAGUAAAGCUUUAAAAUCCGUAAUGUAUUUAUUAGUUAAUGCCGAAAUGUUAAUUAUUCCCAGACACUAAUUAACACCGUGAAUAAAUUGGACAAAAAUAAGAUAGUGAUACUUCUUUAAAUAAAUUUAUUUUAUAUUUAAAGAAUUUAACAACAAAUCACUAGCUUACAAAACUAAUAUAAUUAUUAAAUAAAAUUUUAUAUUUUAAGUUUUAAAAAAUAUGAAAUAUUUUAUUUUACUUUUAUAUAGAGAUAAACACUUAAUAUGAAAUGAAAUCUUCAACUGCUAUUAUAUUUAAAGAAUAAAUAUUUUUUUUAGUUUUUUAAUUUAAUAAAUAUUGAAGUUCAGUUGAAAAUUAAUAUAGUUAAGUUCACAUAAUAGUACAAUUUGAAAAUAAGUUAUAAUAUUUAACAGUUCAUUUUAAGUUUAAUCAGGUAAACUAUUUUUUUUUUCAGUAUAACUUUUAACAGUACAUUUUAAUGCAGUUUAUUUAUUUUGUUCAUUCCUAAAUAUACAAAACAAAACCAAGUAUAUUAUAUAUAUAUAUUAUUUAAUUUUUUUUAAACUUAAUUUUGAUGACUUUUAUAUAUUCUGUUUUAUUUUAGGGUUUGAGAUUUUUAUUUUCUUUUAUAAUUAUUUAUUUAAUUUGUUCUUUAAAAAAAUUAAAAUAUUCUUUUGAAAAUAUAUUAAUAAAAAAGAUGACAGAAGAUGAAAAAGAAAUUUUCUAUAUAUAUGUUUUUUUCUAAUAAAUGAAUUAAUUAUACUUUGACACACGCUCGUAAAAUACACGAUGGGAAAAAUUUCUUUUUCAUGUUCUGUCAUCAAAAAAUUAAAUAAUUUAUUUAAUUUUUUAUGACAGAAUAUGAAAAAGAAAUUUUUCCCACCGUGUACUUUACGAGCGUGUGUCAAAGUAUAUAUAUCAUGACAAGUCCGGAUAAUUAAUUCACUUCUCAGAAAAAGACCACAGGGUCAUUCAAAAGAAAAGAACCUAGUUCCCUUUUUAAGUGAUUGUUUAGAGAGAAGUUAUCUCUAAACUGUGAUGGAUUUCUUCAGCAUGAAAAGCAUGAAGGCAGCUUACCUUGGUCUCAUAACAUUUCUGUUAGGUUGUAUUGGAAUCAAGUAUGGAAUCUCCAAUACCAAUCCUUUCCAUGAUUCAACCCUUUCUCUUCUCGUCACUGCUGUUAUUUCCCAUCUUAUUGCAACAGCAGCUGACAUGAGUCACCCAAACACUGUCAUAACAUUUUAUUUGUCAGGGAUAGUUGCAUGUGAAACACUGCUGUGGAUUCUCAUUGCUCAACUUUCCUGGUUCUCUCUAGUUAACUUCCUUGUUUUACUAAUACUCAAAUUCUUGUUCUCUCACUUCCUCACUCAGCUGCUCCUUCCCUAUUUCAACUGCAUCACUCAGUUGCUCUUCGGAACACCUCCAAAUGCUUCUGACAUGCCAAAUACAGAACAGCAACCGCAGGACUCCCAGGUGUAGCAUCUCAGAUAUGGCCUCGUUCAUCAAUAUGUAGUUUUUUAGUUGUGUUUCUGGCUUUAUACUUAUGCUCAUAUUAUGUAUUCUUAAUUUUCUCUAUUUGUCCUGAUCAUUACGGGUAGAUUAAUCCCCAAAUCGUGAGUUAUUAUCUGCAAAAUAGACCAGGCUAUUUUAUUUUUACUUUGAUUUUCUGUACAAGUUGGAGUAAUUAACACAAUACUGUUCAUAGACCAAUGGGAUAGGUAAUUCACAGUUGGAUUGAUCAAUUUAACAUUUCUUGCUAAGGUUGCAAAAGAUUCAAUUCAGAAAAACUCCACUGCAAACAUGCUUUAAGGAGGAUAUAUUGGGUAAAACUUUCUGAAUAGGACAAUACUUACUGAUGAAUCCCAAUAGCUGAAAAAAAACAAAGAAAAGGCUCCCCAUAAGAGUGCUCUUGACGAUGUUGAUGGACUUAAGACUAGUUGCUGGAUCUUGCUGUAUAGAAAACCAAAAUAUCUUAUCUGAAAUGAAAACCCUAAACUGAAAAUAACUAAUGAAAGACCAAGUUAUAGCUGUUUUAAGAUGAAGUGUGUCCUAAAUAUACUGUAUAUCGAUGUUUGAGAUCUAUACAUGAAGAUCUAAGUCUAGUCCUAAAGGAUGCAAAUGUAUUUCUAUGUAUAGCCUCAAUUAUAAGGUAUGAACUGCUUUCCAUAUAUUCUCCUUUUCGGGUUCCAUGAAUAUCAAGAUUAUAUUUUUAAGGGAUUUAAGAGAUAGCACUGUUUUAUUUAUUUUUAUCCCACUUUAAAAUAGCUUCAUUGCAAUUUUGUCCCAAUGUAUUUGGGUUUUUCCUAGAAAGUUUGUAAAGGUGUUGUUAGUAAUGAGGUAUUUUAUGGUUCAGUAGGGGAUUGAGUUGCACCAUUACUUUUUUAUUUCUGUUUAUCACAUUUACUAUCAUCAUUUUGCCUCAACAUGAUCAAAAUAUCCAACAUCUGUUUUUGUUUCUAAGUUUUCUAGCUCAUGUUGUGUAAAAUUGAAUUCAGUGCUGCCUAGUUCUAGUCUAAGAAAUGCUUUUAGUAGAUAGUAUUGGAGAAAAACAUUGUAUAGGUCAAUAUUUACUGUGAAACCCCUAAAGUGAAAACAUACACUUCUCCAUAAAAGGACUAUUUUUGUUUGUCAAUCAUGAUGUUGUUGUGAGGGUACUACCAAAGGUAGGAUAACUGAAACAAGAAAAAAUAAUAAAAAAUCUGGAACAUUGACUGGGAUUUAGUUAACUUGUUGGCCAUAGUGCAUGAAUUGUAAUAAACUCCUUGACAUGUGAUCAAUUCCUACUGAAGAAAAAACCUGCUAAGUUAGAAUAGUGCUAAAAAGAGCUGAACUGAAUAAAGCACGUGAUUCUACAAACUUAAAAACAUUUAGGAAAACCCCAAAACCCAGUCCUAAACUACUUCUUUGUCUGUCAAAAUGUCCUAACAUUUCCAACAAUAUAUGAAUGCAACAUUAUUUGAGGUUUAUCUGUAAAAUCCAUUUUUAGUUCGAAGAAAUUCAAAUGUAGUUUUUGUUUAGAGGCAAAUGUCAUUGUAAGUUCUAACAAGUCUGGAGUUGUUGUGAACGAGAGAGCACCAUUGCAUGAAACUUAACUUUUAUGCCCUUAGUCCCUUUAUACCAGACAGGAGUGUAGGGAAGGCAACAAAUUUAUGAUCAUCAUCCCACAAUAAUAGCUUCAUUUCUAUUAUCACAAUUUAGUCGGAUUUUUCUUUUUUAAAUAUCUUGAUUUGCUACGAAGACAAUUUCUAUUCCAACAGAGACUUGAAUUGAGAGUUCCUGUAAUUUGUUUUUGAAUGAACUUGUCUCAUAAGAAAUGGAGGGAUUGUAGUUUUUCAAGUCUUUGGCUUAUACUUAAAAGCCUGUAUAAUUUCAGGUAUAAGGGCACACCAACUAGUUUUACCCCUCUUGGAUUGUCAAAUAUGUUUUGUCCCUUUGUUUUGGCCUCAAGUGUUCUACAUCACCCUAUCAUCAAUAGGUCUUGUCUGGUUUCAUGGAAUUCUUUGAAGGACAAAGAAGGAAUGAUACCAUUGCCACCUCUGAUUAUCAGUCAUGCACUCUCUCUGGCUUAACAGUCGGUAACAAAGUUUAUAUUUCCCAUGUUCUUGAAAUUCUUGAAAUAAUCCUUGUUGAUUUUCUUUUUCUUUUCCAGCUUCUCUUUGUCCUUGGGGACUGCAAGGAAUCGCACGAUAUCUAUUCUUUCAGUAAUGACAUGGAGGACUCUUGCCUUUUCUCCCAAUAUCCUUUCACUGCAUUUUUCUUUUCUUCUUUAUUUCUGUUUCCUCUAUGUUUUUUACUUUGUACUUUAAUGCUUGUUUGCUUCUCUUGGCAACUUAAAAUGGAUUACAUUAGUAGUUAAUUUUGUCAUUCACAUUUUCAAUCAACAAUUUGUUUUUUAAUGAACAUGACGCAGUAUGGCUUCUCACGAGAAAUGAAGAGAGUAUAGUUUUUCAAGUCUUUGGCUCAUACUCAAAAUUCUUUAUAAUUUCAGGUAUUGAGGCACACCAACUUCUAGUUUUACACCUGUUGGAUUGUCAAAUACGAUUUGUCCUUUGUUUUGGCCUCAACUGUUCUACAUCACCCUAGGUCUUGUCUGGUUUCAUGGAAUUGUUUGAAUGACAAAGAAGGAAUGAUACCAUUGCCGCCUCUGCUUAUCAGUCAUGCAUCCAUGUUGCUCUCUGCAGCUUAACAGUCAGUAACAGAGUUUCUCUUUCCUAUGCUCUUGAAAUUCUUCAAAUUGAACUUGCCAUCCUUGUUGAUUAUCUUUCUUUUUUGCAGCUUCUCUUCGUCCUUGGAGAUUGCAAGGAAUCACAUGACAUCUAUACUUUCAGUAAUGACACGGAGGACUCUUGCCAUUUCUCCCAGUAUCCUUUCACUGCAUUUUUCUUUUCUUCUUUAUUUCUGUUUGCUCCAUGUUUUUUCCUUUGUACUUUAAUGCUUGUUUGCUUCUCUGGCAACUUAAAAUGGAUUACAUUACUAGUUAAUUUUGCAACUCCAUUUACAUAACUCUGUUCUGUUAGUUGAAUAAGGAAUUUUUGAAAGAGAAUUUCAGUAUUAUCCGAUUCCAUUUUACUUAACUCUGUUGUGUUACCUGAACACACCCUUUCUUACCUCUUGUUUCUCUUUUCUUCUAUACCUAACUGCACUCGCAGCUUACCAAAUGGAAAACUCCUUCCAUUGAAGUCAAGUGAGAGAAAUCCUUCUUGUGCAUCAUAUUGUCCCUUCUAUUUAACUAAUCGCUAACUACUGUCAAUCUUCUUUUUCUGGAUCAUCACUACUUUUUUGUAUACACCUCACGUUUCUGCAGAAGAUGCAGAAACUAAUCAUGACAUGGGUUGGAAUGCUGGUCCUACAUAGGAACAUAAAAAAAGCAGGUAGGGGUUUUGUGAAAAUGUAUGACAAACCAUAAUUGUUUUCUUAAAUUCUGUUGCUUUUAUUUUCAAUAUAGCCUUUGUGUCUUUAAUUAUAAUAAGCAGUUAAGCAUAUUUUUAUAAGAGUUAAUCGUAUUUAAGAAAUAAUGGUUGAAUAGUACUUGCUUUGUCUGAUCAAGAACUGAGAUUUCAACUGUUCCUAACGGUCCUAUUUACAUAAGAUUAAUUUUCAUGUAUAGUUAGCAUCAUUAAACAUUUUUAUUUGAUCAGAAGUGUUUUUCUUCUUCAGACUUCAUGUCUUAAAUCAAGAUGUACUAUUUUAGGCCUAUGGGAAUGGAAAGUAAAUUUUUACAAUUUUCAGUAACUCCAUAUACGCUUUAAAUUUUUUAUUUAUCAAAUAUUUAUUUAGAUAAGGAAGACAUUUCAAUCAUGGAGAAAAAGAAAGUACCGCAAAAUUUUAUGAAAAAAAUCUUAUUGAUAUAAAACUCUGAAAAGUGUUCAACGAUAGUCCAGAUUUAUAUUGGCUAAUCAAUAACUAUAAUAAUGUCAAUAAAAAACCAAUAUUUGUUAACGUUGAAUAAAAAAAGUUGACUUACCUUGAAAAGUAAUUUCAGCUAAAAAAAAUACUCUAACUGUUGAGAAAAUAACUCUACCAAUAAAAACUAAAUUUUAUCCUCAUAGUUACAUAGUCUUAUUUUUAUUGAGGAACAUAUGUAAUGUAUAUCUGUUGGAGUGAGAUUUAAGUUUCCCAUCUUAUUGCAUCCGCAGCUGACAUGGCCAACCCAAACACCAUCAUAACAUUUUUUGUCAGGGAUAGUUGCAUGUGAAACACUGCUGUGAAUUUUCAUCGCUCAGCUUUCCUGGUUCUCUCUAGUUAACUUCUUGGUUUUUACUAAUAGUUAAUUUUUUGUUCUCUCACUUCCUCACUCAGCUGCUCCCUCCCUACUUCAACCGCAUCACUCAGUUGCUCCUUGGAACACCUCCAAAUGGUUCUGAGAUGCCAAAUACAGAACCGCAACCUUAGGACUCCCAGGUAUCAUCUCAGAUAUAGUCUGGUUCAUCAAUAUGUAGCUUUUUAGUGUGUUUCUGGUUUUAUGCUUAUAUGCUCAUAUUAUGUAGUCUUAGUUUUCUCUAUUUUUCCUGAUCAUUACGGGGUAGAUUAAUCCCCAAAUCAUCGAGUUAUUAUCUGCAAAAUAGACCAGCCUAUUUUACUUUUAAUCUGAUUCUUUAUACAAGUUGGAUUAAUUCUGAUAACAGGGUACUGUUCAUGGACCACGUGAUAUUUGAGGUUCUUGAUUAAUCCCCAAUUUAUUAUGGGUUCAACAAGUUUGAAUUUUUUUUUUUGGCUUUAUGCUUAUUCCCAUAUUUUAUAUGCUUUAUUUUCUCUCUUUGUGCUAUAAUACUUUCCUUUCAUGUUAGUUGGAGUCGGAUUUAAGUUCCUAAUAAUUACUGCUUACAUUAAUCCCCAAACCAUCGGGUUAUUAUCGGUAAAAUAUACCAAGCUAUUUUAUUUUUACUUUGAUUUUCUGUACAAGUUGGAGUAAUUAACACAAUACUGUUCAUGGACCACCUGGGAUAGGUAAUUCACAAUUGUACUGUACAAGUUCUGUGUAACUCAUUGGUUGAUCAAAAUGUUGAAAAAUAUUCAAUUCAGAAAAGCCUAACUCCACUGCAAACAUGCUUUAAGCAGAUAUAUUGGGUAAAACUUUCUAAAUAGGGCAAUACUUACAGAUGAAUCCCAAUAGCAGAAAAAAGAAAACUUCCCCAUAAGAGUGCUCUUGCCGAUGUUGAUGGACUUAAGACUAGUUGCUGGAUCUUGCUGUAUAGAAAACCAAAAUAACUUAACUGAAUUGAAAAUCCUAAAUCCUAAACUGAAAACAAUGAAAGACCAAGUUAUAGCCGUUUUGUUUUGUCUGCCGUACACCACUUUCUGCAUUAAACCAAGUGCAAACCUCAGUCCUAAACUUCAGGGUCACACCUGCUUUUUUGUUUUAAAAUAAAGUGUUCUAAAUACCCUACUGUAUAUCGCUGUUUGAGAUUUAUAUAUGAACAUCUAAGUCUAGUCCUAAACGAUGCAAAUGUAUUUCUAUCUAUAGCCUCGAUUAUAAGGUAUGAACUCCUUUCAAGAUCUGCAAUGAACUGAACUAACUUAUUCUUCUCCUUCUUGGUUCCAUGCAUAUGACGAUUAUAUUUUUAAGGGAUUUAAGAGAUAACACUGUUUUAUUUAUUUUUAUCCCCACUCUGAAAUAGCUUCAUUGCAAUCUUGUCCCAAUGUAUUCGCGUUUUUCCUAGAAAGUUUGUAAAGGUGUUGGUACUGAGAUAUUUUGGGGAUUGAGUUGCGCCAUUACUUUUUUGUUUCUGUUUAUCACAUCUACUAUCAUCAUUUUGCUUCAGCUUGAAUAAAACAUCCUACAUAUGUUUUUGAAUUCAAUGCUGCUUAGUUCUAGUCUAAGAAAUGCUUUUAGUAGAUAGUAUUGGAGAAAACCAUUGUAUAGGUCAAUAUUUACUAUGGAACUCCUAAAGUGAAAUCAUACACUUCUCCAUAACAGGACUCUUUUUGUUUGUCAAUCAUGAUGUUGUGGUUGAGGGCUAUAGAAUGGUACUAUCAAUGGUAGGAUAACUGAAACAAGAAAAAAUGAUAAAACAUCUGGAACAUUGGCUGGGAUUUAUUUAAAUUGUUGGCCGUAGUGCAUGAGUUGUGAUAAACUCCUUGACAUGUGAUCAAUUUCUACCGAAGAAAAAACCUGCUACAUUAGAAAAGUGCUAAACUGAACAAAGCAUAUGAUUCUACAAACUUGAAAACAUUUAGAAAAACCCCAAAACCCAGUCCUAAACAACUUCUUUUGCUGUCAAAAUGUCGUCAGAUUUCCCACAAUAUAUGAAUGCAACAUAUGAGGUUUAUCUGUAAAAUCCCUUUUUAGUCCGAAGAAAUUCAAAUGUAGUUUUUGUUUAGAUGUGGAUGUCAUUAUAANUUCUAACAAGUUUGGAGUUGUUGUGAAUGAGACAGCACCAUAUUUUUCUCUUUAUUAGAUUGCAUGAAACUUAACUUUUAUGUGUUCAGUCCCUUCAUACCAGAAAGGAGUGUACUGAAGGCAAUAGAUUUAUCAUCAUGCCACAAUAAUAGCUUCAUAGAUAUGGUCAAAAUUUAGUUGGUGUUUCGGAUAUGGGAUCCAAGAUCAGAGACACUCCAAGUUGUUCCUUCUGUGUGCUUCCAAAGAUCUUUCACGCUAUCACACCGAUCGGUUGCGAUCUGCAAGUUAGUAUUGGGAUGCAAACAAAGUCCCACAUCGAGUAAAAGAAGGGCUGGUCAAGGGUUUAAAUACACAUAGAUACCUCCAAUGAUAAGAGACCUUUUGGAGUGGUACCAAAAGCAAAUCCGUGAAGGCUUGGCCCAAAGCGGACAAUAUCUUACCAUGUGUGGAGAUCUAUGUGUGUGGAUCGCCCAUCACUCUUUCCAAUCAGUCUGUUGGAUACAAACAAAGUCCCACAUCAGAAAAAUUAAAAGAUGAAUAUAAGUUCUUUCCCUUUAGGGGAGGUGGUCCUUUGUUUGAGGGGAGGAUGUUGGGUACAAACAAAGUCCCUACACAUAAGAUACCUUCAUUAAUGAGAAGCCUUUUGGAGUGGUACUAAAAGCAAAUCCGUGACCCAUCCCUACACAGUGACCCCUUAUAUUACAGUUGGUUCUUUUUUUUUUUCAAAUAUCAUGAUUUGCUACCAAGACAAUUUCUAUUCCAACCGAUACUUGAAUUAAGAGUCCCCGCUUGUUUUUGUCAUUCAUAUUUUCUAUGAACAAUUUGUUUUUGAAUGAACGUGAUGCAGUAUGACUUAUCACGAGAAAUGUAGGGAGUAUAGUUUUUCAAGUCUUUGGCUCAUACUCAACCGUAUAAUUUCAGGUAUUGAGGCACACCAACUUCUAGUUUUAUAUCUUUAGGAUUGUCAAAUACGAUUUGUCCCUUUGUUUUGGCCUCAAGUGUUCUACAUCACCCUAGGUCUUGUCUGGUGUGAUGGAAUUGUUUGAAUGACAAAGAAGGAAUGAUAUCAUUGCCCCCUCUGCUUAUCAGUCAUGCAUCCAUGUUGCUCUCUGCAGCUUAACAGUCAGUAACAGAGUUUCUCUCUCCCAUGCUUUUGAAAUUCUUCAAAUUGAACUUGCCAUCCUUGUUGAUUUUCUUUCUCUUUUGCAGCUUCUCUUCGUCCUCGUAGAUUGCAAGGAAUCGCUUGACAUCUAUUGUUUCAGUAAUGACUCCUCUUGCCCUUUCUUUAAUGCUUGUUUGCUUCUCUGGCAACUUAAAAUGAUUACAUUAGUAGUUAAAUUUGCAACUCUAUUUACAUAACUCUGUGUUAGCUGAAUAAGGAAUUUUUGAAAGAGAAUUUCAGUAUUAUCCAAUUCAAUUUUACUUAACUCUGUUGUGUUACCUGAACACACCCUUUCUUACCUCUUGUUUCUCUUUUCUCUAUACCUAACUGAACACACCCUUUCUUACCUAAGUGCACAUUUUUCAAAGUCUAGAACAAUAUAUAAAAUUUUGCUUUCCAAGUGAAUUUUUUAUACUGGUUUCUAGACGGUUUAAACAAGGUCAAUACUUUUUAUAUCUUAUGUUUCUAUACUGGUUCAAAAAUCAGUUUAAAAAAAUCUUUUUUAAUCAAUUAAAAAAAAAAAAUUCUACACCAGUACUAAUAACUCCAGUCACAAAAGAUAGAUUAGGUCUUGUAAUUGUAAGAUAAACUAAUUUUCCAACUAACCUCUUAUAUUUUUCUCGAUCAAAGAAUGAUUUACCUUCUUAUAUGUUAUUAAUUUUUUAUUUGAGUUCAUAAGACUACCCACUAGUUUAUAUUGUCUCUUGUAGAAUAUCAAGAGCAUACCUCUUUGAAAGAUUAUAACACCACAUUUUUAGUGAGUUACUCCAAUACAUAUGAAGUAUUUGAGACUUUCAAGAUUUUUUGUUUGAAAAUAUUUACACAAAUAUUCUUUUAAUUAAGAUAUUUUAAACAACAUCAUUUCUUGUCAUGACUAUAUCAUUAAUAUAUAUUAUUAAAUAAAUACAUUUUCCAGGAGAGUGAUGACAAUUAAAAUUUAAAUAAUAUGUUUGAUUACAUUUUAAUCCAAACUUUUGAACAAGUAACCUUAAUUUACCAAAACUUUCUUCGUGGAGAUAACCAUGGAGAAAAGACAUUAUUGAUGUCGUCGAUCUGCCUUAGAAUCCAAUUAUUUGAUGCAGCCAGAGUAAGGAGAAGGCACAAUGUGGUAAGCUUGGUGACAAGAGCAAAAAUAUCAAGCAAAUCUAACCCAUCAAAUUGAGUAUAUCCUUUUGCUACAAGAUGAGUUUUGAAUCACUUGAUGGAAUAUCAGAGUUAUAUUUGGUUUUGUAAAUCCUUUGACAACCAAUGAUUUUCUUGGAAGAUCAGUGAUGAUCCAAGUGCAAUUGACAGCUACAUAGUGAGUUCUUCGUUCAUGGUUUUGAUCCAUUGAGGCUCUAUGUAACUCCAUAGUUCAUUGAUAAAAGAAAAAGAAAGAACAAUAUACUUGAAGGAAGGGAACAAAGUAUCAUAAUUGAUGUAUUUGUGAAGAAGGUACUUUAUAAUAUUAUUGGUGUGAAAGAUUUGAAGGCAAUGGCAAGUUUUCUUAUGACGGUUGGAUCUUCUUGGUUGAAUGAGAUUAAGAUUGUAAGCAACAUUAAUAUCACAAACAGACAUAUGACUGAAUAUCAAGAGCACUAUUCUCAAUGCGACAAAUUCAAAAAUUAAUAGCAUUGUUAUUGUGCAUAUAGUUAUGUGAGAUAAAGAGAGAAAGACUAUUAUUAUCAUGCACAGUAUUAGUUAAGAUAAGAAAAAUGAUAUUCAUCAAACAACACAUUACCCGAAAUUUCAAACAACACAUUAAUUUUAUGGAUUUUAAUUUUAAAAUAAAAUAAUUUCACCC